UACGUAGGGUGCGAGCGUUAAUCGGAAUUACUGGGCGUAAGCGUGCGCAGGCGGUUCGUUGUGUCUGCUGUGAAAUCCCCGGGCUCAACCUGGGAAUGGCAGUGGAAACUGGCGAGCUUGAGUGUGGCAGAGGGGGGUGGAAUUCCGCGUGUAGCAGUGAAAUGCGUAGAGAUGCGGAGGAACACCGAUGGCGAAGGCAACCCCCUGGGCUGACACUGACGCUCAGGCACGAAAGCGUGGGGAGCAAACAGG
rnacentral:rRNA from 1 species